rnacentral:lncRNA from 1 species
UAUUUUUAUUUUUUCUUGUUAUUUUGUUUUAACCCUCCUAGUGAGCAACUGGUUCUUCCUGCUGCUAUCACUUGGCUGUGCUCACAAUUAACUUGUGAAGCUUAAAUCAGUGCUCUUGGGUGGGAGCAGGGACUGCUGAGGGCAGAGCCCCACCAUGGGCAGCUCAGGUUCUGGGGGUGCUGGGAGUGCAAAAGCUGUUCUGCUGAAAGCUGGGUGGGUUGUGUGGCAAAGCAAACCUUGUCUGGUGUUCUAGGACAGCUGGAACCUCUUAAAUUAAUUUUUGUUUUGUUUUCUGCUGGAAAAGUACUUGUUGAGUGAUGCUGAUUUCUUUGUGUGACGAUGAAGACUUGCUUUUGCUUCUUUGAAAAGCCUCUUGUGGAACAAGGUUUGAAUUUAUCAGAAUAGCCCAUCUUGAAACUUCAUAAAUGAAAAGAUCUCAGUUUGUGGGGAAAAUCUGGGGUUCUUUUUAAAAUGCUUUUUUAGCAGAUAUUAAGCAAAGAAGUGCAUAAAGCAAUAGAUGAUCCCAGCAAUCUUUUGCUGGAGUCAGAUCCUCCAGAUUGCCUCUGUUUCUGCAGAUCUCUUUAUGAAACUAGCUGGGACUCUGAUUUGAUUAUCAUUAUUGUUAUUUUUUGUUACAGUGAGAAAGUUUAUCACGUUACGUCAGUUCUCACCUGAUAUCAGGAUGCAGGUUCUUUGCCCCUGUUCAUCUCCUUUGCUCAGAAGCAUUUUGUUUUAAAUGAAGUCUACAAAUAUAUGCUCUGCCUCACUCUCUCCAAGGAGCAGUGUUGAUUCAUUUGCCCUCAUCACCCACAGCUGUGGAUGCCCUUUCCACGCCACUGUGAUCAAGGGCACACAGUAACCUGCCUGUCCGCGUGGCAAAGACAUGGCUGUCUGUCCCAAGAAAGUCCAGGUCCACUGCCUACCUAGAAGUUCCUCCUCAGCGAUGAAGCUCACCCAUCACUGGAGCACAGUUCCCACAGGGCAGACACUGCUACACGCCUGGGUUCUUCUGCUUCCUUGGGCAAUCCAAAGAGCAAACAAAUCCCAGCUGUGCCUCCUAUGUGCUCGAGCUCACCCUCAUGAUGCUGCAGGAAGUUGCUGCUAUAUCCCAGCUGAUAUCUCAGCCUGUGUGCUCCAUGAUGGCCAUGCUGGCACCGAACUACACUUCCCAGGAGGCCACAGAGCAAGAGCAGUGCUCUCUGAGAUGAGUGCAGGAAAAACGCUCCCUUUGGCUGCUCGUGCUCGGUGGUGAAUGGGAUGGCAGUGGAAUGUCAGGACUGGAAGCAGCACCGCUCUGCGAGCAGCUGCAGGCAUUGCAGCUAAAUGGGUUUUUCCUCUUAAUGCAGCUCUCUGCUGUCACUGCAGCCUUCCUCCAGCAAAUAGCCCAAGCUGGCUGUGCAAGGUUGGCCUCGCCCUCUGCUUCUCUCUCAGGCAGGCUCUGCUAAUCCGCUCCUGACAGAUGUUUUUGUCUCUCAUUCAUAGAAACCUUUUCCCCUUGCCCUGCUUGGCACAGGCAGCUCCAGUUUUAAGAAGAAGGAUAAGAAACUUUCAAAGCUCUCUGUUCAUCCUCCCAGCUACGGCUGGUUGCUUUUAGGGUUAUAGUACCAAAUGCAAUGGGAGGUUGCCGGAACAGCAAGCAUUCUCGUCAUUGUAGAUGGGGAAGAUCAGGAAUAGGGACUGCACUUCUCCAUCUCUAGGGCUGAUGUCAGCUGUGUGCCUUCUGAAUCUCCGCCUAAGAAAUGGAUUCUUUGAGCCCUGUUCCUUUGAAGGGAGAUUCCUGACUUGGGUGGCAGUCAAGGCUCAAGAAAACAAGACGCUGGGUGUCCCUUUGCCAGAGUGCAGCAUGGGACCAUCACCCUGUAGGAGUGAUAGAGACCCCCGGUCCCAUUGCAGUGACAUGAGCAUGGGGAUACUGGGGCCUUCUGGGGAGAGCUGCUGACCUCUCAUGCCUGGCUUUGAGGAUGCCAUUGGCAGAGGAGUGAGGUACGCUGUGCCAAACCCUUUAAAAGAGGGUCGCAGAAAGGUGAGGGGCAAAUUCCCUUCACUCUGGGCCAUGGUUUCUGCACUCUGGGAUGGGCACAGCGUGAGGACUGAAGGCAGGAGCUGUUUUGCAGCCUUGCUCAUGGGCACUGCAGCUGAUUUCUCCGGCAGAGCAAAGAAAAAGAAAAGGAAGUGAGAGAAAUAAAAGCUAUUAGUAUCAAGAGAUUAAGGGCUGU